GUCUUUUUGAGUUACAUUAAAAGUCUAACCUGCCCAAUGUUAAAUGAAUGGCCGCGGUAUUUUGACCGUGCUAAGGUAGCAUAAUAAAUAGUCCAUUAAUUAUGGUCUGGAAUGAAAGGUUUAACAGAGAAUGACUUUUUUAAUACUAAAUUUGAAUUUUAAUUAUUAGUAAAAAUGCUAAUAUGUAAAAGAGGGACGAGAAGACCCUAUAGAGCUUUAUACAAAUAUUUUAAUUGUAGGAUAGCUUAAAUCACUGUAUUUUGUUGGGGCGACAAUAAAUUAUAAACAUUUAAUUUAAUAUCUGUUAUAAUAGGUUAAAUGAUCCAUUAAUAAUGAUAAAAGACUAAGCUACCUUAGGGAUAACAGCGUAAUUUUAUCCUAGAGUUCUUAUCGACGAUAAAGAUUGCGAC
rnacentral:rRNA from 1 species